CGCGUAGGCGGCUUAACAAGUCACUUGUGAAAUCUCCGGGCUUAACUCGGAACGGCCAAGUGAAACUGUCAAGCUAGAGUGCAGAAGGGGCAAUCGGAAUUCUUGGUGUAGCGGUGAAAUGCGUAGAUAUCAAGAGGAACACCUGAGGUGAAGACGGGUUGCUGGGCUGACAUUGACGCUGAGGCGCGAAAGCCAGGGGAGCAAACG
rnacentral:rRNA from 1 species